AGCAGCCGCGGUAAUUCCAGCUCCAAUAGCGUAUAUUAAAGUUGCUGCAGUUAAAAAGCUCGUAGUUGAAUUUCGGGACCAUCAUGUCGGUCGUGCCUCGGUACGUACUGGUAUUGUUGGUUUCUCCCUUCUGACGAACCAUGAUGUCAUUUAUUUGGUGUUGUGGGGAAUCAGGACUGUUACUUUGAAAAAAUUAGAGUGUUUAAAGCAGGCUCACGCUUGAAUACAUUAGCAUGGAAUAAUGAAAUAGGACGUUUGAUUCUAUUUUGUUGGUUUCUAGGAUCGACGUAAUGAUUAAUAGGGAUAGUUGGGGGCAUUAGUAUUCAAUUGUCAGAGGUGAAAUUCUUGGAUUUAUUGAAGACUAACUACUGCGAAAGCAUUUGCCAAGGAUGUUUUCAUUAAUCAAGAACGAAAGUUAGGGGAUCGAAGACGAUCAGAUACCGUCGUAGUCUUAACCAUAAACUAUGCCGACUAGGGAUCGGAUGAUGUUAAUUUUUUAAUGACUCA
rnacentral:rRNA from 1 species